rnacentral:rRNA from 1 species
CCUACGGGGGGCUGCAGUGGGGAAUAUUGGACAAUGGGGGCAACCCUGAUCCAGCCAUGCCGCGUGUGUGAAUAAGGCCCUCGGGUUGUAAAGCACUUUCAGUGAGGAAGAACGCCUGGUGGUUAAUACCCAUCAGGAAAGACAUCACUCACAGAAGAAGCACCGGCUAACUCCGUGCCAGCAGCCGCGGUAAUACGGAGGGUGCGAGCGUUAAUCGGAAUUACUGGGCGUAAAGCGCGCGUAGGUGGCUUGAUAAGCCGGUUGUGAAAGCCCCGGGCUCAACCUGGGAACGGCAUCCGGAACUGUCAAGCUAGAGUGCAGGAGAGGAAGGUAGAAUUCCCGGUGUAGCGGUGAAAUGCGUAGAGAUCGGGAGGAAUACCAGUGGCGAAGGCGGCCUUCUGGACUGACACUGACACUGAGGUGCGAAAGCGUGGGUAGCAAACAGGAUUAGAUACCCUAGUAGUC